GUACCCAAAGAAUAGUAUAUAUUUAACAUGAUUUCUAAAGGGGUGCGUUGACACCUGUCAGAUUUCUAUCUAGGAAUAGAAGGAUUCAAACCCUAUUUGAUCCUUAGCUCUUUGCUGAAAAGUGCAUAAACAGGAAUCCUGAAUUUAUUAUAUAGACCUCCGCAUUAUAUAAUCGAAGCAAAGGGAAACCAUCGAUGGAGUUAGAGGUACGUAGACUAUAAAGAGAUGCUUGCAAAUCAAAUACUGGUUUUAGCAUAGUUGCCAAACUCAGUAAGUCACAAGUCCAGAAAAAAGCUGUUCCUAUUAAAUCUCCCUGAGGUCCUUUUACUAAGAUAGAAAAAUAAGGAGUCAAUGAGGGGAGGGGUUGAGGGAAAUGGGAAAGGAAUUAUAGCCUAGGAAUGGUAGAUAGCUACCCCAGAACUUUAAAACUACUAACACUACAAUUCUAUUUUAAUCAGCUUUUUGGCUGGUACCUACUGCUAUACCACCUAGUAUGACAUUUCGGGAUUAUCGGGACAAUGACAGAAGCGGUGUACAUGGAGGGUAUAGAAGUUGUGCUGCUGUGAAAAUGAGUAGUGAAGAUGUUUCCAGCCAAGAGAGGUCUCCCUUUCAUGGUAAGAUAUAACUGCAGAAUGGAUGAUAAAGCUGGAAGGAAUUAAAAUACCUGCUUUUUCAUAGCGAUAUGGCUAAGACCAUAAAAAUAAGUACACUGUCCACACAAACUCAACAAAAUUGUGGUUUCUACCAGAUGAGUAACUUUUCAGUGCCCACCACUGACAGUUACACAAUUCUCUACACCCUGUCUUUACUGUUUGAAGGAUAGGUGAAGAAUAGAAUUGUCAAGGUUGGCUCAUCUUGACACAAAGUUCUAAGGCCAGUAAUGGAUAUAUAUCCUUGCUUGGGUUUGAUUUCUCCUUCAGGCUGAUGGUACUUUUUUGUGAACAUGUAAUUAAGCUGACACCUUGGGAGGGUUUUACAUUCCAUGUUUUUGGCAUGGUCUAACAAACAUACUGUACUGGCAGUAGAGAACAAAAGGAUUUCAUGUAAAACAAUACAGUUUACACACAUUUGAGUUUUUUAAUCUAUGGUUGAUUUACAAGUUGUUUGGGUUUUAAAGCUGAUUGAAGUUGCUUAGCUGCUGUUGUUGGUCUUCAUUUUUCUUUCAGGAUCAAGGUGGGUGCUUUCAUAUAAAAUCUUAUUUUUUAUUCCUUCUCUGGCAAUUCUUUCCUGGAUCCUCUGCUUAGCGAAAUUAUACCUACAGUGGAACCUUGUAAGAAUGAAAAAGAAAGUAAGCUACUAGUUCCUAUAUAUGAGCAACCUAAGGAAUUUUAAUUCACAGAUUUCCAAAAUGCUUAUAAAGGACUAUCCCAAAACUAAAUUUAAAGGUGUUUAUACAAAUGUUCUUUAUAACUACAUAAAACAUAGAUUUCUGUCUCCUUAGAAUAAUUAUACCUGUUGUAGAACAAACACUGUAGGAAUCUCUUGGGUCUGACUCACUCAAAACUUAAUGGAAUUCUGCCACUCGUCUGUUAAACAUUCAAUGGGUAAUAAUGGAGGUUUAUAUAUUGCCAUAGUUUCCAGCAAAAAACAAAAACAAAACAACUGGUGACUCAUACCUUUAAUCCCAGCACAACUACACAGUGAGAGACCCUGUCUCAAGUGCGCGUAUAUACACAUCCAUGUUUAUUGAAUGAGUCCUGUUACUUUAUCCUGACUUUAACUGCAAUAUCCAGCAAACAUACCAGCAUCCUAAAGUCACCAGGAUAAAUCCUCCUACUCCAACAUCACAUGAUCUUCUAAUUCUACCUAUUGGAAAAAGCAUGGUCAGCAUAAAUUCUGUGUAGAAAACAUUAUAAUAGACCUGUUUUAAUUUAAGGAAAAUACUCACUGGUCACCAAGAAAUGUCCAAGUCCAGUCACAAUAGAUCCUAAUGAGCCAUAGAGUAUAGAUUCUCGAGCACAUGGAGUGUUCUCAACAUCUAAAAUACCUAGGAGCUUGAAGGGCUAGGAUAAAAUGAAAAAGAAUUUAGCCUGAACAAGAAAAUAGUUAGGUUCCUAUUCAAUUUUUAAUUACCAGUCAGCCAACUUAAAAGUGUUCUAAUCUGCCACUUCAGGAUUUACUUCAGCAUUUGAAAUAAUGAGCACAGUGAUUAACCUCUAGCAUGAAGUGACCAGUCUUCCAAGGACAUGUCACUCAGCACUGGCUCAGAGAUGGGGGUCAAAACAUUUUUCACACUCUGUUCAUGCAAGUCUUAGACAUCUGGUGGUUUGUGACUGUAAUGUAAUCCCAGCAAUCAGGAAACCACAGCAAGAAGAACCACAACUACAUUGCUGUGAAUUGGAGGUCAGUCUGAGCUUGAGGAUGCAAGACUACACAUAACUUAUAUGACAGAGCAUGUGCGAAAAGAAGCCAUUCUCUAUUUGUACCCCAGCCCUGGAAGCACAGAUGUUUUCUGCAAUGCCACUCAAUGCUUCUAGAGGAUGACUGCAUAAGAGAUGAAACGUAACACUGGUGGGGAAUGGAGUAAAAGACAUGUUAGGUUCGGUUAAAGAUAGGGUAGAGCUGCACUCCCCUUAGCUCAAGGAUCUGCCUGAACGUGUGUAACCUGGCUUUCAUUAAAGUAAAAUUGUUCUUUCACUGA
ensembl:antisense